CCCCAGCCCUUGUCACAUUGCUCAGCCACCACUGAGCUUCUUCUCAGUUUUGCCGAUGCCACAGGGUCCUGACCUCAGUACAGAGGACUUGUCCAUCCUUCAUGGAAGGUCUGCCCUGCCACCAUGAGGUCUGCGCAGGCCUGUGGAGAUGGAUGUCCCUCCUGUGCUGCUAGGAGGCUUUCUGGUCAACCUGCACUUCAGGACUCUCCACACCUUGAUAUAUACUUCUGCAAAAUACACUGGACGCCUUAAGACGCUGAGACCCGGCGACCUAGGCCCAUAAAUCCAUCACGAGGAACAGUCAGAGAUGGAAUCAGAGAUCCAAGUGAGGGGUCAGCGGUGACAUUUAUAAUGGCCAGACAUACAUGGCAGCCAUCUAUGUGCCUAGCAAUGGGACGUGCGGGGUCAGAAGUAGGACAACCCUUGGUGGAAAGUGGUACAGCCACAGACAAGGAGACAGUCAGCAGCCAGAGAAAGAGUUCUGCCGCCGUUAAUGGUCUCAUCGGCCGUGCUCUCCUCGUCUUCACGGUCGCGUCGCCGUCACCGUCCUUACCACGACCGCCGGCAUCUGCAGCGCCAUCGUCGUCACCGGCGCCCUCUCCACCAGCGCCUUCAUCAUCCUCAUCCUCAUGGUCACGCAUCGCCACGGCCAUUUAUUGA
rnacentral:lncRNA from 1 species